CUGUUAACCUGCAGGAGAAAAAUCUUGGCUUGUUUAGAAGACAUCUUUGAAAGCUUCCUCCCACAGUCAUGGGGACAUCAACAUAAAGCUCCUGGCCUGGCUUGUGGCAGUCUGAGAAGAUGCUGCUGCACAUCAUCCAAGGGCUUUCCAGCUCUGAGAGAAAAAGGAGAGAUGGAGGGCAGUUUAUAGAAGCCAUUUUCCUCCAGACAGACUCACUAUAGAGAAGGAUGUUGGUUAGAUCCUGAAAAGAUCCUGUGAUGAAGAAAUAAACCAGCCUGCAACCUGCCUGCUUCCCCCACCAUCCACACACACACCUUCACAGGAUGGAAUUCUUUG